rnacentral:tRNA from 1 species
GAGAGCAUGACACAGUGGUUUGAGUGUUGGACUAGGAUUCUGGAGACCAGGGUUCAAUUCCCAGCUCUGCCA